GGGCCGGUAGCUCAGUUUGGAAUGAGCGCCCGCUUGGCAUGCGGGAGUUCAGUAUUGUGACCCGAAGCCGCGGGUUCAAAUCCCGCCCGGUCCA
rnacentral:tRNA from 1 species